UAGCUAGUUGGUGAGGUAAAGGCUUACCAAGGCGACGAUCUGUAGCGGGUCUGAGAGGAUGAUCCGCCACACUGGAACUGAGACACGGUCCAGACUCCUACGGGAGGCAGCAGUGGGGAAUUUUGGACAAUGGGGGCAACCCUGAUCCAGCCAUGCCGCGUGAGUGAAGAAGGCCUUCGGGUUGUAAAGCUCUUUCGGCCGGGAAGAAAUCGCAUGGGCCAAUACCCUGUGUGGAUGACGGUACCGGAAUAAGAAGCACCGGCUAACUACGUGCCAGCAGCCGCGGUAAUACGUAGGGUGCGAGCGUUAAUCGGAAUUACUGGGCGUAAAGCGUGCGCAGGCGGUUUUGUAAGACAGGCGUGAAAUCCCCGGGCUUAACCUGGGAACUGCGUUUGUGACUGCAAGGCUAGAGUACGGCAGAGGGGGGUGGAAUUCCACGUGUAGCAGUGAAAUGCGUAGAGAUGUGGAGGAACACCAAUGGCGAAGGCAGCCCCCUGGGUCGAUACUGACGCUCAUGCACGAAAGCGUGGGUAGCAAACAGGAUUAGAUACCCUGGUAGUCCACGCCCUAAACUAUGUCAACUAGGUGUUGGGUGGGUAAAACCAUUUAGUACCGUAGCUAACGCGUGAAGUUGACCGCCUGGGGAGUACGGCCGCAAGGUUAAAACUCAAAGGAAUUGACGGGGACCCGCACAAGCGGUGGAUGAUGUGGAUUAAUUCGAUGCAACGCGAAAAACCUUACCUACCCUUGACAUGCCAGGAACUUGCCAGAGAUGGCUUGGUGCCCGAAAGGGAGCCUGGACACAGGUGCUGCAUGGCUGUCGUCAGCUCGUGUCGUGAGAUGUUGGGUUAAGUCCCGCAACGAGCGCAACCCUUGUCGUUAAUUGCCAUCAUUUAGUUGGGCACUUUAACGAGACUGCCGGUGACAAACCGGAGGAAGGUGGGGAUGACGUCAAGUCCUCAUGGCCCUUAUGGGUAGGGCUUCACACGUCAUAUAAUGGUCGGUACAAAGGGUUGCCAAGCCGCGAGGCGGAGCCAAUCCCAGAAAGCCGAUCGUAGUCCGGAUUGCAGGCUGCAACUCGCCUGCAUGAAGUCGGAAUCGCUAGUAAUCGUGGAUCAGCAUGCCACGGUGAAUACGUUCCCGGGUCUUGUACACACCGCCCGUCACACCAUGGGAGCGGGUUCCGCCAGAAGUAGGUAGCCUAACCGCAAGGGGGGCGCUUACCACGGCGGGGUUCGUGACUGGGGUGAAGUCGUAACAAGGUAGCCGUAGGGGAACCUGCGGCUG
rnacentral:rRNA from 1 species